UAUAUGGGUUUACCUUUGCUCCCCUUUUAAUGUUGCAAAUCUGAUUCCUUUUGCAGGCAGUAGAAAGAGAGGAGAUAGGGUUUUGCAUGCCUCCUUUUUUCACUUUUAACUAUCUCCUUUUCUCCUUUUUAAAGCUCCUCAUUUUUCCUCUUCAAAGAUGCUUCCUUUUUCCUUUUCAGUGCUACUUCAUUUUUCCUCUUCAGAGCUGUUCAUUCUUCAUGUUCAGAUUUACUCCCUUUUUCCUUUUCGGAGUUGCUUCCUUUUUAUUCU
rnacentral:lncRNA from 1 species